rnacentral:rRNA from 1 species
AUACGUAGGUGGCAAGCGUUGUCCGGAAUUACUGGGUGUAAAGGGCGUGUAGGCGGCUCUGCAAGUCAGAUGUGAAAUUCCCGGGCUCAACUCGGGCGCUGCAUCUGAAACUGCAGAACUUGAGUGCUGGAGGGGAUAGCGGAAUUCCUAGUGUAGCGGUAAAAUGCGUAGAUAUUAGGAAGAACACCGGUGGCGAAGGCGGCUAUCUGGACAGUAACUGACGCUGAGGCGCGAAAGCGUGGGGAGCAAACAGGAUUAGAUCCCCUGGUAGUCCACGCCGUAAACGAUGACUACUAGGUGUAGGGGGUAUUGACUCCCUCUGUGCCGCAGUUAACACAAUAAGUAUUCCACCUGGGGAGUACGGCCGCAAGGUUGAAACUCAAAUGAAUUGGCGGGG